rnacentral:rRNA from 1 species
GACGAAGGUGGCUAGCGUUGUUCGGUGUUACUGGGCUUAAAGCGUAUGUAGGCGGGAAAGUAUGCGCCUUGUGAAAUCCCCCGGCUUAACCGGGGAAUCGCUUGGCGAACUGCUUUUCUUGAGGCAAGUAGGGGUGCAUGGAACUCUUGGUGGAGCGGUGGAAUGCGUAGAUAUCAAGAGGAACGCCAAAGGUGAAAACAGUGCACUGGGCUUGUCCUGACGCUGAGAUACGAAAGCGUGGGGAGCAAACGGG